CGCAUUGCUCGUUUGCAUUUGAAAUGGCCAGAAAACGGCCUAAAAAUUUGAUAGGGAUUUUUUUUUGGACUUCUUCUAAAAGACCUUAUACUAGUGAAGUUCAUGUGGACUUACAAGUUCGAUGUGAUUCUCACAAACAAUAUAUUUGGGAAUAUCUGUUCUGAUCAAGCAUGUAAAAAUUCGGGAAGCAUUGCCAUCUGCAAGCCCGGGUGAAACGGGGCCUGGAAUAUUCGAACCGAUACAUGGUUCUGCUCCUGACAUUGCCGGUCAGGACAAAGCGAAUCCCCUGGCAGCGGUGUGUAGUGGUGCCGUGCAUUUGAAGUACGGGUUGGGUGAGGAAAGAGCCACGGUAGCCGUCUUGGAUGCUCUAGAGAGAGGAUCUCGCACUAGCAACAUAUUCUCGGCUGGAAUGAUUGUUUGGACUUCGGAUGGGCUACAAAAAAUUAUUGAGCCUUUGCGAUUUAGGCCUAAAUGUUGUGAAGGCCUACUUGGUUGCUGAUGGUGUUCCCUGUGAUGGCGCGUUCAAC